rnacentral:rRNA from 1 species
UACGUAGGGGGCGAGCGUUGUCCGGAUUUAUUGGGCGUAAAGAGCGUGUAGGCGGUUUGUUGCGUCGGCCGUGAAAACCUGCAGCUUAACUGUGGGCCUGCGGUCGAUACGGGCAGACUUGAGUUCGGUAGGGGAGACUGGAAUUCCUGGUGUAGCGGUGAAAUGCGCAGAUAUCAGGAGGAACACCGGUGGCGAAGGCGGGUCUCUGGGCCGAUACUGACGCUGAGGAGCGAAAGCGUGGGGAGCGAACAGG